UCUUGUUGGUUUUGAAGAACAUUUUCAUUUCUGCCUUUAUUUCAUUGUUUAUCCAGUCAACAUUCAAGAGCGAGUGGUUGUUUCCAUGAAGUGUGGUUGUGAGUUAAUUUCUAAAUUCUGAGUUCUAAUUUGAUUGCACUGUGGUCUGAGAGACUGUUUGUUGUGAUUUCCAUUCUUUUGCAUUUGCUGAGGAGUGAUUUACUUCCAAUUAUGUGGUCAACUUUAGAGUAGGUGUGAUAUUGUGCUGAGAUGAAUGUAUAUUCUGUGGAUUUGGGGUGGAGAGUUCUGUAAAUGUCUAUCAGGUUUGCUUGGUCCAGGUCUGAGUUCAAGUCCUGGAUAUCCUUGUUAAUUUUCUGUCUGGUUGAUC